GAUGAACGCUGGCGGCGUGCCUAAUACAUGCAAGUCGAGCGAACAGAUAAGGAGCUUGCUCCUUUGACGUUAGCGGCGGACGGGUGAGUAACACGUGGAUAACCUACCUAUAAGACUGGGAUAACUUCGGGAAACCGGAGCUAAUACCGGAUAACAUAUUGAACCGCAUGGUUCAAUAGUGAAAGGCGGCUUUGCUGUCACUUAUAGAUGGAUCCGCGCCGUAUUAGCUAGUUGGUAAGGUAACGGCUUACCAAGGCAACGAUACGUAGCCGACCUGAGAGGGUGAUCGGCCACACUGGAACUGAGACACGGUCCAGACUCCUACGGGAGGCAGCAGUAGGGAAUCUUCCGCAAUGGGCGAAAGCCUGACGGAGCAACGCCGCGUGAGUGAUGAAGGUCUUCGGAUCGUAAAACUCUGUUAUAGGGGAAGAACAAAUGUGUAAGUAACUGUGCACAUCUUGACGGUACCUGAUCAGAAAGCCACGGCUAACUACGUG
rnacentral:rRNA from 1 species